rnacentral:rRNA from 1 species
ACAAUGGAGAGUUUGAUCCUGGCUCAGGAUGAACGCUAGCGGCAGGCUUAAUACAUGCAAGUCGAGGGGCAGCAUGGUGUAGCAAUACACUGAUGGCGACCGGCAAACGGGUGCGGAACACGUACAGAACCUUCCUUCGAGCGGGGAAUAGCCCAGAGAAAUUUGGAUUAAUACCCCAUAGUAUAACGGAGUGGCAUCACUUUGUUAUUAAAGAUUUAUCACUUGAAGAUGGCUGUGCGGCUGAUUAGGUAGUUGGCGGGGUAACGGCCCACCAAGCCUGCGAUCAGUAACUGGUGUGAGAGCACGACCAGUCACACGGGCACUGAGACACGGGCCCGACUCCUACGGGAGGCAGCAGUAAGGAAUAAUGAAUAAGCACCGGCUAACUCCGUGCCAGCAGCCGCGGUAAUACGGAGGGUGCAAGCGUUAUCCGGAUUCACUGGGUUUAAAGGGUGCGUAGGUGGGUUGGUAAGUCAGUGGUGAAAUCUUCGAGCUUAACUCGGAAACUGCCAUUGAUACUAUCAGUCUUGAAUAUUGUGGAGGUUAGCGGAAUAUGUCAUGUAGCGGUGAAAUGCUUAGAUAUGACAUAGAACACCAAUUGCGAAGGCAGCUGGCUACACAUAUAUUGACACUGAGGCACGAAAGCGUGGGGAUCAAACAGGAUUAGAUACCCUGGUAGUCCACGCCCUAAACUAUGGAUACUCGACAUACGCGAUACACUGUGUGUGUCUGAGCGAAAGCAUUAAGUAUCCCACCUGGGAAGUACGAUCGCAAGAUUGAAACUCAAAGGAAUUGGCGGGGGUCCGCACAAGCGGUGGAGCAUGUGGUUUAAUUCGAUGAUACGCGAGGAACCUUACCUGGGCUAGAAUGCUGGGAGACCGUGGGUGAAAGCUCACUUUGUAGCAAUACACUGCCAGUAAGGUGCUGCAUGGCUGUCGUCAGCUCGUGCCGUGAGGUGUUGGGUUAAGUCCCGCAACGAGCGCAACCCCCAUCACUAGUUGCCAUCAGGUAACGCUGGGAACUCUAGUGAAACUGCCGUCGUAAGACGUGAGGAAGGAGGGGAUGAUGUCAAGUCAUCAUGGCCUUUAUGCCCAGGGCUACACACGUGCUACAAUGGGGAGGACAAAGAGCUGCCACUUAGUGAUAAGGAGCUAAUCUCAAAAACCUCUUCUCAGUUCAGAUUGGAGUCUGCAACUCGACUCCAUGAAGCUGGAAUCGCUAGUAAUCGUAUAUCAGCAAUGAUACGGUGAAUACGUUCCCGGACCUUGCACACACCGCCCGUCAAGCCAUGGAAGCUGGGUGUACCUAAAGUCGGUAACCGCAAGGAGCCGCCUAGGGUAAAACUAGUGACUGGGGCUAAGUCGUAACAAGGUAGCCGUAUCGGAAGGUGC